rnacentral:lncRNA from 1 species
GUGACAACCUCCGUGGAAGCAUAGAUACAACCUCGCAGGCGUGGAAGGGGGGGAGUACUGGUGAGAGAGGAUCGUACAUCCAGGGACAUCACCAGAAAUCCACAUCCCAGCACGCAAAGAGGGGGGGAAUACUGAUAGUACAGGGUCCGACACACAGACCAUAGUACUAGAAGACGUAUCCCAAAGUACCUAGUACGCAGAGGAGGGGGGAGUACUGGUGAUAAAGUAUCCCGAACACGGUCACAACCUACCAGCAACUAGAAGUCCGGAUAGCCUAAGAUGAGUUGAGGUAUCUAUUCUAGGGUUGAGGAGGUCCCGGGUCG